rnacentral:lncRNA from 1 species
UAGGAGGAGGCGACACAAAGGGAAGGAGGAGACAGCAGCAAUGCAGUUGUGAUGAGGCAGCAAUGAUGGCAGGAAGGUGAAGGAGGCAAGGAGGGAAAGAGAUAAAGAGAAGGAGAGAUGGAGGGAGAGAAAUAGAGAAAAAAAGAAUAAAAAAGGGAUAACAACUGUGACAGCUGUCAUAAAUUAAAAAAGAAAUAUAUUGGUGCCUGAUUGUGUGCUUAUUGCCUUGUACCGAAGACUUUAUCAGGCCAUACAACUUUAAUUUCUUCAUCUUUCCUUAGUCUCCUUAUUGUUAAUAAAUAUUUUUUUAUCUUCAUUUUACUGCAUCUAAUAUUACCUACAUCCCUAUUGUUUCUUUCAUAGCUUUAACAAUUCAAAGUAUAUCCUUAUGCUGA